CGGGUAGCCGGCCUGAGAGGGCGACCGGCCACACUGGGACUGAGACACGGCCCAGACUCCUACGGGAGGCAGCAGUGGGGAAUAUUGCACAAUGGGCGAAAGCCUGAUGCAGCGACGCCGCGUGAGGGAUGACGGCCUUCGGGUUGUAAACCUCUUUCAGCAGGGAAGAAGCGAAAGUGACGGUACCUGCAGAAGAAGCGCCGGCUAACUACGUGCCAGCAGCCGCGGUAAUACGUAGGGCGCAAGCGUUGUCCGGAAUUAUUGGGCGUAAAGAGCUCGUAGGCGGCUUGUCGCGUCGGUUGUGAAAGCCCGGGGCUUAACCCCGGGUCUGCAGUCGAUACGGGCAGGCUAGAGUUCGGUAGGGGAGAUCGGAAUUCCUGGUGUAGCGGUGAAAUGCGCAGAUAUCAGGAGGAACACCGGUGGCGAAGGCGGAUCUCUGGGCCGAUACUGACGCUGAGGAGCGAAAGCGUGGGGAGCGAACAGGAUUAGAUACCCUGGUAGUCCACGCCGUAAACGGUGGGCACUAGGUGUGGGCGACAUUCCACGUCGUCCGUGCCGCAGCUAACGCAUUAAGUGCCCCGCCUGGGGAGUAC
rnacentral:rRNA from 1 species